rnacentral:rRNA from 1 species
CCUGUACUUGGUGUUACUGCGAAGGGGGGACGGAGAAGGCUAUGUUGGCCGGGCGACGGUUGUCCCGGUUUAAGCGUGUAGGCUGGUUUUCCAGGCAAAUCCGGAAAAUCAAGGCUGAGGCGUGAUGACGAGGCACUACGGUGCUGAAGCAACAAAUGCCCUGCUUCCAGGAAAAGCCUCUAAGCAUCAGGUAACAUCAAAUCGUACCCCAAACCGACACAGGUGGUCAGGUAGAGAAUACCAAGGCGCUUGAGAGAACUCGGGUGAAGGAACUAGGCAAAAUGGUGCCGUAACUUCGGGAGAAGGCACGCUGAUAUGUAGGUGAAGUCCCUUGCGGAUGGAGCUGAAAUCAGUCGAAGAUACCAGCUGGCUGCAACUGUUUAUUAAAAACACAGCACUGUGCAAACACGAAAGUGGACGUAUACGGUGUGACGCCUGCCCGGUGCCGGAAGGUUAAUUGAUGGGGUCAGCGCAAGCGAAGCUCUUGAUCGAAGCCCCGGUAAACGGCGGCCGUAACUAUAACGGUCCUAAGGUAGCGAAAUUCCUUGUCGGGUAAGUUCCGACCUGCACGAAUGGCGUAAUGAUGGCCAGGCUGUCUCCACCCGAGACUCAGUGAAAUUGAACUCGCUGUGAAGAUGCAGUGUACCCGCGGCAAGACGGAAAGACCCCGUGAACCUUUACUAUAGCUUGACACUGAACAUUGAGCCUUGAUGUGUAGGAUAGGUGGGAGGCUUUGAAGUGUGGACGCCAGUCUGCAUGGAGCCGGCCUUGAAAUACCACCCUUUAAUGUUUGAUGUUCUAACGUGGACCCGUGAUCCGGGUUGCGGACAGUGUCUGGUGGGUAGUUUGACUGGGGCGGUCUCCUCCUAAAGAGUAACGGAGGAGCACGAAGGUUGGCUAAUCCUGGUCGGACAUCAGGAGGUUAGUGCAAUGGCAUAAGCCAGCUUGACUGCGAGCGUGACGGCGCGAGCAGGUGCGAAAGCAGGUCAUAGUGAUCCGGUGGUUCUGAAUGGAAGGGCCAUCGCUCAACGGAUAAAAGGUACUCCGGGGAUAACAGGCUGAUACCGCCCAAGAGUUCAUAUCGACGGCGGUGUUUGGCACCUCGAUGUCGGCUCAUCACAUCCUGGGGCUGAAGUAGGUCCCAAGGGUAUGGCUGUUCGCCAUUUAAAGUGGUACGCGAGCUGGGUUUAGAACGUCGUGAGACAGUUCGGUCCCUAUCUGCCGUGGGCGCUGGAGAACUGAGGGGGGCUGCUCCUAGUACGAGAGGACCGGAGUGGACGCAUCACUGGUGUUCGGGUUGUCAUGCCAAUGGCACUGCCCGGUAGCUAAAUGCGGAAGAGAUAAGUGCUGAAAGCAUCUAAGCACGAAACUUGCCCCGAGAUGAGUUCUCCCUGACCCUUUAAGGGUCCUGAAGGAACGUUGAAGACGACGACGUUGAUAGGCCGGGUGUGUAAGCGCAGCGAUGCGUUGAGCUAACCGGUACUAAUGAACCGUGAG